rnacentral:rRNA from 1 species
CAGAGGGUGCGAAGCGUUAAUCGGAAUUACUGGGCGUAAAGCGUGCGCAGGCGGUUUGUUAAGAUAGGCGUGAAAUCCCCGGGCUCAACCUGGGAACUGCGCUUAUGACUGGCAAGCUAGAGUACGGCAGAGGGGGUGGAAUUCCACGUGUAGCAGUGAAAUGCGUAGAGAUGUGGAGGAACACCAAUGGCGAAGGCAGCCCCCUGGGUCGAUACUGACGCUCAUGCACGAAAGCGUGGGUAGCAAACAGGAUUAGAUACCCUGGUAGUCCACGCCCUAAACGAUGUCAACUAGGUGUUGGGAGGGUAAAACCUUUUAGUACCGGAGCUAACGCGUGAAGUUGACCGCCUGGGGAGUACGGCCGCAAGGUUA